rnacentral:rRNA from 1 species
UACGGGGGGGGCAAGCGUUGUUCGGAAUUACUGGGCGUAAAGGGCUCGUAGGCGGCCAACUAAGUCAGACGUGAAAUCCCUCGGCUUAACCGGGGAACUGCAUCUGAUACUGGAUGGCUUGAAUCCGGGAGAGGGAUGCAGAAUUCCAGGUGUAGCGGUGAAAUGCGUAGAUAUCUGGAGGAAUACCGGUGGCGAAGGCGGCAUCCUGGACCGGCAUUGACGCUGAUGAGCGAAAGCUAGGGGAGCAAACGGG